rnacentral:rRNA from 1 species
CAGCAGCCACGGUAAUACGAAGGGUGCAAGCGUUACUCGGAAUCACUGGGCGUAAAGCGUGCGCAGGCGGUUCUAUAAGACAGAUGUGAAAUCCCCGGGCUCAACCUGGGAACUGCAUUUGUGACUGUAGAGCUGGAGUGCGGCAGAGGGGGAUGGAAUUCCGCGUGUAGCAGUGAAAUGCGUAGAUAUGCGGAGGAACACCGAUGGCGAAGGCAAUCCCCUGGGCCUGCACUGACGCUCAUGCACGAAAGCGUGGGGAGCAAACAGGAUUAGAUACCCGAGUAGUCCCUGUCUCUUAUAC